rnacentral:tRNA from 1 species
GGUCCUGUAGCUCAGUUGGUUAGAGUGUUGGUCUGAUAUAAGGUCACAGGUUCAAGCCCCGUCGGGACCA